rnacentral:rRNA from 1 species
AAGCUCGUAGUUGAAAUUGUGUCCCGCGGCGUCGGUCUACCGAUUGUGGUACGACAGGCGCGUCUGCGGGGCUUCUCGCCGGUGCGUGUUCACCGUCGUGGAUUGCGUCGGCACGCAAGUGUCUUCGUCGUCUCGACGGGCCCUCGCGGCUGUUUACUUUGAACAAAUUAGAGUGCUCAAAGCGGGCUAUUAUUUGCCUGAAUAUUGUGCGCAUGGAAUAAUAGAAUAGGAUCUCGGUUCUGUUUUGUUGGCUUUCUGAUACCAGAGGUAAUGAUUAAUAGGGACAACUGGGGGCAUUCGUAUUGCGACGUUAGAGGUGAAAUUCUUGGAUCGUAGCAAGACGGACUAAAGCGAAAGCAUUUGCCAAAGGUGUUUUCAUUAAUCAAGAACGAAAGUUAGAGGUUCGAAGGCGAUUAGAUACCGCUGUAGUUCUAACCAUAAAUGAUGCCAGCCAGCGAUCCGCCGGAUUUUUUAAUUUGAUUCGGUGGGCAGCUCCCGGGAAACCAA